rnacentral:rRNA from 1 species
CCUACGGGGGGCUGCAGUGAGGAAUAUUGCACAAUGGGGGGAACCCUGAUGCAGCAACGCCGCGUGAGCGAUGAAGGCCUUCGGGUCGUAAAGCUCUUUUCUGUGGGAUGAGAAAAGGACAGUACCACAGGAAUAAGUCUCGGCUAACUACGUGCCAGCAGCCGCGGUAAAACGUAGGAGGCGAGCGUUAUCCGGAUUCACUGGGCGUAAAGGGCAAGUAGGCGGUAGGCAAAGUUGGGCGUGACAAAUCUCGGCUUAACUGAGAGGGGUCGUUCAAAACUAGUCUACUGGAGGGCAGGAGAGGAAGGCGGAAUUCCGAGUGUAGCGGUGGAAUGCUCAGAUAUUCGGAAGAACACCAGUGGCGAAGGCGGCCUUCUGGCCUGCACCUGACGCUGAGAGGCGAAAGCUAGGGGAGCGAACGGGCUUAGAUACCCCGGUAGUC